UACGUAGGGUGCAAGCGUUAAUCGGAAUUACUGGGCGUAAAGCGUGCGCAGGCGGUUGUGCAAGACCGAUGUGAAAUCCCCGGGCUCAACCUGGGAAUGGCAUUUGGGACUGCAAGGCUUGAGUGCGGCAGAGGAGACUGGAAUUCCUGGUGUAGCAGUGAAAUGCGUAGAUAUCAGGAGGAAUACCGAUGGCGAAGGCAGGUCUCUGGGCUGACACUGACGCUCAUGCACGAAAGCGUGGGGAGCAAACAGG
rnacentral:rRNA from 1 species